CGGGAGAAAGAGACAGAAAAAUUGAAGCAUUGAAAAGCAAAAAGGUUGCGUGAAGGUUAGAUUAGAUGUACAAAAAUGGCAAUAAACGCAAAGGUAGAGAAUACCAGAUUAAUCGUACAGAAAAGCAAAUCAAAUAAGCGUGUAAACGACACCAUUUACACCCAAAUUGCUUUGAAUUUCGAAGGACUCAAAAGAGAAGAUGACAAUGAAGAGACGAAGAAAGCAAAAUGAUAGGUGCGGGUCUUGCUUUCUUU
rnacentral:misc_RNA from 1 species